rnacentral:lncRNA from 1 species
AGGACAAAUACAGAAUGUGAGGUGCAGGGAGCUGAAGGCCCCUGGGAAGUGACCAACUCAGCAUUUCGCUGGAGGCUAUAGGAUCAAACAGCAAACUGUUUAUCAUGAAUGCAGGAUGUGGGCAAACUCACACUGCCCUGCCACCAAAAGGUUUGUUGAGGGCCUCACUCCCUGGCGCUGGGCUCCUUGAAGUUAUCUAUUGAGAAGUCUAGCACCUAAGAAUGCAGUCUUGCAAGCCUGCUGCGAAUCAAGCUGCUGGCCAACAACCACUCCCCACCUUCUCACUAUCUCUAUUGCCUAAUAAAUAUGGAGGGCAGUGUAAAGCUCAGGGCCCUUGUCCACUAGAGACAAGGUGCCCUCCGACCCCUUCUUCCAAAUAUACUCUUUUGCCUCUUGUCUUUUAUUCCCGUGUUUGCCCCCUUUGUUCAGUCCCCCUAGGUCCAUGCAGGUUACAUAGUGGUGCCCCAAACAGUGACACAAUUGGGUUCUCAACAAGUGGUGACUCAGAACAGGGACGCCAAGGAUGCCAACAAGUGGCGUCUGAACACGGGACUUCGACGAUGUGAACAAAAAAGAUCUGCUGGAGCAGAGAAGCUGAAAUUGACAAGGCAAACGGGGACCCCAGGAUGAGUCUGCCGGCAGCAUAUAUAAGGACCUGCCACCCAUGGCCGCCAUGGACCAAUCAACACACACUUCCUCCCCUCUGAGGUCCAUAAAAGCCACGGGCUCAGCAAGAGCCAGCAGAGGAUGGAGAGAGGACUGGAUGAUCAGCCGCAGAGAGGAGAUACUGUCUCUGCUGAGAGUUGGAGAUAAUGAGAUGACCAGCUGCAGAGAGGAGCUACCCUCUCUGCUGAGAGCUGUAGAGAUCACAGGAUGACCUGCCAGCAGAGAGGAGCCACCCUCUCCAGGGCCUCCUCUGCUGAGAGCUGCAGAUAUCAGGAUGACCAGUUGCAGAGAGGAGCUACCUUCUCCAGGCCCUCCUCUCUGCUGAGAGCUGAACACUUGACAGGACUACCUGCCUGCAGAGAGGAGCUACCUUCUCCAGGCCCUCCUCUCUGCUGAGAGCUGAACACUUGACAGGACUACCUGCCUACAGAGAGGAGCUACCCUCUGUGGGUCUCCUCUGAGCUGUCAUAACACUCAAUAAAGCUCCUCUUCAUCUUGUUCAACUUCCACUUGUUUGCAUACCUCAUUCUUUCUGGACAUAGGACAAGAACUUGGGCAAAGGUGUCACCAGCCAGCCACAGAGGUUUCUGGCCAGAAGAGUGACACCCCAAAGAUCCCAUUACAAUGGGACAUUAGGAAGAGGGAAAAAUCAAGAAUAAAAAAUAAUUUAUGACAAAUAUGGAACUAGUCAGCUAUGGAAAAAUUAUUUAUACAUAGUAUUCUUUUUAGUUGAUUUUCUUGGGCUUCAUGAGCAUCAUCAGGAAGUAAUGAUAAUUUACCUGUUUUGUUCCAAUAUUUAUAGUCUCAUAAGUCUGAUGUUGGCUAAAAUUUCAGAGACUUUUCUAGGUCUCAAGGAGUUAGAAAAGCCUGUUGAAAUCUGGGUUAUAACAACAAGCCCCCUAUGACUCCCAGGGCUUCCAGUGCAUUGGCAUCAUAGAGAGUUACAAGAGUUUAGGGUCAUCCAGAUACAGCUGGAACUCAGUGACCCACUUCCUCUGAGUUCACCUAAAGGAGAUAUAAAUAGGGAGAUGCGUCAUCUUAAUGGGGAUCAUUCUGAUUAGGUAUACAAUCUUACUAAGCCAACUCAGAGGAGGUUGCAGUUCCUUGCCAAUUUUUGAUAGCAUUGCGUUCAUCCACUUUCUCAGGCAGGGACUAUAGGAAAUGAAGGUGAACUCGUGGAGAUUUUGGAGAGAAUUUAAUGAAGAGGCUGUUUACCAAGGAUCUCUCUCUGUCUCCGAGGCUGGAGUGCAAUGUUGCAAUCAGGGCUCACUGCAGCCUCGACCUCCUGGGCUCAACUGAUCUUCGUACCACAGCCUCAUGAGUAACUGGGACUACAGAUAGUAUCUCAUGAUAUGAAUGGUCCUGGAUUUACUUACACAUCCUCCUUUGGAUGAGCAAGCACUGGUUCUGGUGGACACUGAGAGACAAUUUUUAUUUGCUGCACGUGGAAAGGACAACAACAUACCUGGACAGAAAUGCCUCGAGGAUGUACUGAAGGCCCCUCUCACUUUUCACAGCCAUAACUGUAAGUUUCCUGGGGCCUCUCCAGAAGACAAGCAGAUGCCGCUAUGCUUCCUGAACAGCCCACAGAACUCUCCCAGUUGUGGGCAGAGUCUGGUUAAGGUACAGCCUUGGAAUUAUUUUAACAUUUUCAGUCGCAUUCUUGGAGGAAGCCAAGUGGAGAAGGGUUCCUAUCCCUGGCAGGUAUCUCUGAAACAAAGGCAGAAGCAUAUUUGUGGAGGAAGCAUCGUCUCACCACAGUGGGUGAUCACGGCGGCUCACUGCAUUGCAAACAGAAACAUUGUGUCUACUUUGAAUGUUACUGCUGGAGAGUAUGACUUAAGCCAGACAGACCCAGGAGAGCAAACUCUCACUAUUGAAACUGUCAUCAUACAUCCACAUUUCUCCACCAAGAAACCAAUGGACUAUGAUAUUGCCCUUUUGAAGAUGGCUGGAGCCUUCCAAUUUGGCCACUUUGUGGGGCCCAUAUGUCUUCCAGAGCUGCGGGAGCAAUUUGAGGCUGGUUUUAUUUGUACAACUGCAGGCUGGGGCCGCUUAACUGAAGGUGGCGUCCUCUCACAAGUCUUGCAGGAAGUGAAUCUGCCUAUUUUGACCUGGGAAGAGUGUGUGGCAGCUCUGUUAACACUAAAGAGGCCCAUCAGUGGGAAGACCUUUCUUUGCACAGGUUUUCCUGAUGGAGGGAGAGACGCAUGUCAGGGAGAUUCAGGAGGUUCACUCAUGUGCCGGAAUAAGAAAGGGGCCUGGACUCUGGCUGGUGUGACUUCCUGGGGUUUGGGCUGUGGUCGAGGCUGGAGAAACAAUGUGAGGAAAAGUGAUCAAGGAUCCCCUGGGAUCUUCACAGACAUUAGUAAAGUGCUUCCCUGGAUCCACGAACACAUCCAAACUGGUAAUCGGAGAAAGAGCUCCAGAGGUGGGUAUCCCUUGCAGGCUGCUCCAUCAGGAGCACAAAUUAACAUCUAGCAUUUCUGAAUAUCAGUUCCUGAAGUCUUCCUCUCCAAGAGCGCUCCCUGCUCAGUAGGUCUAAAACUACCACCUGGAGCACCUACAGCCAUUAUGCCCAGCAGAAGCCCCAGUUGCCCUCCCAUUUCAUUUCUUAGCAAUCCAGAGCUCUGUCCCAAUUCAGCCAACCUUUGCCAAACACUAGCUUGGAAUCAGAGACUCAAGGAAAGAGGGCAAGGCAGUGCCGAUGUGGUCAGUAAGCUACACACCUUGCCCUGAAAGUGUCCCUACUUAUAUAGGGUCUCAUCCCCUUUGUUCCAUUGCGAUCCUGCGAUGAAUUCACUCUGUGACUUUGGGCGAGCCUUUUCCUAACUCUGGCCCUCAUCCAUAAAGAAAAUAGUGUGGGCCAGAUGGUCUCUAAGACACUUUAGUUCAAAUCUUUAGUUGUUCUUUGAACCCGUGGAAAGAUCUACAAAGAGCAAUAUAGAAAAAUAGUACCCUGAGAGCUCAGAGGAAUGAGAGGCUGCUUCUAGCUGAAAACAAAUAAACUCACAGGGGAGCUCUGAUGCACAGACAUCUUUGAAGCUGCAACUGGAAGGAGGAGUAGGAUUUUGUCAAGUGGAAAUGGAAUAUGGGUAAAGAAAAAUAUUCCAGCUCAAGGAAUCAUCCUUAUUAAAGGAAAGGUCUUAAGGAUGAAGACAGCAACAAAAGCACAGGGCAUGUGAUGAGGAUUUAUAAGGGAGAAGAAUAGAAACAUAACUUGAGAUCAAACUAUGGAAACUUUAAAUGCUAGCCAAAAAAGUUUGGAUACGAUUGAGUAAUAGAAAGCUGAUUAAUUAGAUAAGUAGGUUUGAACUAUAUUUUAAUAGUGUAAGAACAGCAUGUAGGGGAUGGGUUGCGAGGGGACAAAUGCAUGGACGUAUGAAAUUCUUCAUUAGUUUGAGAGACA